UCCACAAACUGACCAGAGGGACUCUGCCGUCAUUCCCAGUGCUGACCUCCUAGAACGCUCAAGAUGAGAAGACUGAGGCUUGGGGAUAGGCUAUGUGGCAGAACUCUGACUCAAAUCCAAGGUUGCCGGCCUUCCAGAGGCAAGCUCUUGGCACCCACCGUGGCUGCUUCCAUGGUCAGAGGCUUGCACAGUGGUUGAGUGCCCAGACUGGGGACAGUCAACUGGGGCUCAGAUUCUGGUUCUGGCACUUCCUGGAGGAACCCUGUGGAUUUCAAGCAGAAUCGAGAAAAUGAAUUCAGCUUGGCCUUCUCUAUGUGUGAACCCCAGUUCUGCACUUGGCCACUUGAUCGCCAUCUGCCCAGUGCCCGC